rnacentral:rRNA from 1 species
GACGAACGCUGGCGGCGUGCUUAACACAUGCAAGUCGAACGGAACGGCCCUGCCUGCAGGGUACUCGAGUGGCGAACGGGUGAGUAACACGUGGGUGAUCUGCCCUGCACUUCGGGAUAAGCCUGGGAAACUGGGUCUAAUACCGGAUAGGAGCCAUUUUUAGUGUGAUGGUUGGAAAGUUUUUUCGGUGUAGGAUGAGCUUGCGGCCUAUCAGCUUGUUGGUGGGGUAAUGGCCUACCAAGGCGGCGACGGGUAGCCGGCCUGGGAGGGUGGACGGCCACAGUGGGACUGAGAUUCGGCCCAGACUCCGACUGGAGGCAGCAGUGGGGAAGAUUGCACAAUGAGCGCAGGCCUGAUGCAGCGACGCCGCGUGGGGGAUAGCGGUCUUGGGGUUGGAGACUCCUUGCGCUAGUGACGAAGCUUUUUGUGACGGUACCUAGAUAAGAAGCACCGGCUAACUACGUG